UACGUAGGGUGCGAGCGUUAAUCGGAAUUACUGGGCGUAAAGCGUGCGCAGGCGGCUUUGCAAGACAGAUGUGAAAUCCCCGGGCUUAACCUGGGAACUGCAUUUGUGACUGCAUGGCUGGAGUGCGGCAGAGGGGGAUGGAAUUCCGCGUGUAGCAGUGAAAUGCGUAGAGAUGCGGAGGAACACCGAUGGCGAAGGCAGCCCCCUGGGCCAACACUGACGCUCAGGCACGAAAGCGUGGGGAGCAAACAGG
rnacentral:rRNA from 1 species